AUUGAACGCUGGCGGCAGGCUUAACACAUGCAAGUCGAGCGGAGCGAGGGUGCUUGCACCUUAGCUUAGCGGCGGACGGGUGAGUAAUGCUUAGGAAUCUGCCUAUUAGUGGGGGACAACAUUCCGAAAGGGAUGCUAAUACCGCAUACGCCCUACGGGGGAAAGCAGGGGAUCACUUGUGACCUUGCGCUAAUAGAUGAGCCUAAGUCGGAUUAGCUAGUUGGCGGGGUAAAGGCCUACCAAGGCGACGAUCUGUAGCGGGUCUGAGAGGAUGAUCCGCCACACUGGGACUGAGACACGGCCCAGACUCCUACGGGAGGCAGCAGUGGGGAAUAUUGGACAAUGGGGGGAACCCUGAUCCAGCCAUGCCGCGUGUGUGAAGAAGGCCUUUUGGUUGUAAAGCACUUUAAGCGAGGAGGAGGCGCUCUAGGAUAAUACCCUAGAUGCGUGGACGUACUCGCA
rnacentral:rRNA from 1 species